rnacentral:rRNA from 1 species
UGUGUAGGCGGCUCCUUAAGUUUGGUGUGAAAUCUCCCGGCUCAACUGGGAGGGUGCGCCGAAUACUGAAGGGCUAAAGUGCGGGAGAGGAGAGUGGAAUUCCUGGUGUAGCGGUGAAAUGCGUAGAUAUCAGGAGGAACACCGGUGGUGUAGACGGCUCUCUGGACCGUAACUGACGCUGAGACACGAAAGCGUGGGUAGCAAACAGGAUUAGAUACCCUGGUAGUCCACGCCCUAAACGAUGCAUAUUUGGUGUGGGUCAUUCAGUUGAUCUGUGCCGGAGCUAACGCGUUAAAUAUGCCGCCUGGGGAGUACAGUCGCAAGGCUGAA